UUCAUCUCGCUGUGUCUCUAUAAGGGCAUAACUGUCUGAUUGGCUCACGAACCAGGAAAAAACGUGCGCGGUUGUUUCAUUUCAUAGGCGAGCCAGCUGUCAGUCACAGAAUACUCUCACGCUCAUUCGUCAGCAGAUCUGUCGCUUAAAGUCUGCUCGGCUGAUGCAACUUGAAACAAGCGUUUCAAGCAGAGAAACAGGCAUAGUACGUAGUGAGUGUAUUGCAUCAGGCCUCCCAAGAAUGUUAUUCGAGACCGAAUCAGGUUUCAUCAAGGUUUCAAAUUUGACUUGGGACGUCGGGAUGCUGGAGUGUAAGAGGCUCGGGCCAUAGAUAAAUAGGUAGACAGAGAAAUGAAGGUGAUUUUGCUAAGCAUGUCCACCGAUUCCAUUUUUCCCCCAACAUUUUUAGUUUUUUUUUUUUUUUUUUUUUAAAUGCGAUUGUCUAGUCAAAUUGUCACCAGAAACUGCAACAUCCUUCAAACAUCUCCAUUCAGUUUUAUCCUAUCAUGACUGCUGAGGCAGAUUAGUUUCUUCCUCAAGAUCUUUUAAGCUAUGGCAUCGGCUUGUAUUUUAGAUCUCCUUUGUCUGUAAUCUCUAUCUAUGAUAGCGUGACAUAUUUCAGAUCUUUCCAUUUUUAUUAGAAUGCAGAAACCUGUUAUUCAUGUAUUUCCAUACGUUUCUAAUCUUUCUACAAACCUGUAACAUCCUAUGCUUUUUACUUGAUGGUUUCCACUGUGACAACCACACAUGUUCAUCUCUAGUUGUUUACGUUACACGUUCACUUUAUUUACAAAUUACGAUAAAGUUAAGGUCAUCAUCACCUUAAAUUCGGAAAGUACUCAGAGAGCAUAUUGUUUGUCUUUUGAGUUGCGUCAUGUUCUUAGCAAAACAAAUAUUUAUGUACUAACCUAUUUUCUGUGUGGAUGAUUCAGUGUUAUUAGUACAUUAAUGUUUUUGCGUAAUACAGAGUCAUUCUUAGGUAUUUGACCAGUCAGCAUCAUUAAAAUAUUAAGACAGGACGGACUUGUGAUCUCAGUAACGUCACAGUUCCUUUGUCAGCCCUGCUUGGGAAUUGCGUCUUAGGUCGAAGCCAUUAGACUACCACACUGACUUAACUAAUAUUCACUCCUUGACAAUGAGGAUGGUGGUAUUUUUCUAAUUUCAACAGAAAGGAUAGGCUAUAUUUUAAUAAUAACCUAUUUUAUUUCCAACAAGGCUUUUUGUAAUAAUUUCCAUGUAAAUUAAACAUUGAAUGUCAUAAGAAUUAGAUGAGGGAAAAUAUCAUAUUUUCUUGUAAAAAGUUAAAUUUCGGUUGAUAAACAAAACACCCCUCUGCCCCCUGCCACCCCUGGACAUUUCCUUGUAGUAUAGCUUAGGCUUUACUUUGGUUAAAAUAGGAUUAUCUAUAAAUAGAGGUAUUAGCUGGCAUCAUAAGAUACAAGCACAUGUAAGCUCCUUAAAAGUCUGCAUGAUGCACAAGCCUUUCUCUGCCUAUAGCUCAGGCAGACGGGGGAGCUCCAGUGACCAGACCUUUCACGGGACAGCCUGUUUACUUUCUCUAGCGCAGUAACCUUAGGCGCGGACACACUAGGCCCCCGCUGACCUUAUAUGAAUGACAAAUGCAGAAUGGAAAGAGGGUCAUGUGAAUCGCACAUGUGUUGUACUUGCCGCACUUGUUUGCUUGUUUCUUUUUAGCCAUUACUAACAAAUUUCUUAAAGCUUACUGUUGCUCAAAUUCCUGAAACAAUUUAUUAGAAGAAUUAAUCAGAUGUGUAUCUUAAUUACCAUAAUUUUGCUGUAAUUGAUAUGUGAUUUGACAACGUGAAUUAUUUUAAGUGUAUGACAGUUGGAGCUUCAUGCUGCUUGGGCUGGCUGUCGUGCAAGUUUGACAUUGUGUUGAAGACCAGUUGAACAAGUUUCAGCUACUCAGAAACACUGUUGUCAGAUGUCAAAAAAAAAAAAAAAAACCCACAUGUAUGUCCUGUACAGAAUGGCCCCGACAUAGGGUGGAGACCAAGAAAUCUGCACCCAAAAUAAACAGACCCAGAAAAUCUAAGAGAAAACACAUUCCCAUGCCCCAUGCACACAUAUAGUGCACUUAAACAUUCUUCCUGCCAUACAUGAUAAAAUGCAGUGAACGUUUCAGACACGUUGAUGUAUUUAAUAAUUGGUUUUUUUUUUUUUUUUUUUUCUUCUUUUUUUACUUUGGCUCACUGAUAGAUGAGAAUGUUUGGUAAUUAUAUAUUUAUUUUGAUUUAUUUUUUUUUUUUUGUGCUUUGACCUUUUUUCCUCUUUUUUUUUCAUUUAAAUGUUACCUUAAAGGUAUAGUUUAGCCAAUAAUGGAAAUUCUGUCAUCAUGUACUCACCCUUAUGUCAUUUAUACCUGUAUGACUUUUUUUAUUCUGUGGAACACAUGAAAAGAUAUUUUAAAAAAUAUGUAAUUGUAUUUGAAGAUAUUUUGAAGAAUGUUCCAACUAUUAGGCCUAUUGUCCAUACAGUGAAGGUGAAUGGGGUCCAAAACAACAAUGGACCCCAUUGACUUUCAUUGUAUGGGCAAAACAGACCUUCAGAAUAUAUUAUUUUUAUGUUCCAUAGAAGAAAGAAAGUCAAACAGGUUUAGAACGACAUGAAGGCGAGGUGACAUUUUUGGGUGAACUAUCUUUUUAAUACAUGUUAAUUACUUGAUAAUUGCUUGCUUGAUCUUGUACAUGUUCAGUUGUUAUAUUUGUUACAUGGUUAAAGAAUUAAUAAUUUCACAAAAUUCAUCCUAUAAAAGAGAACUUCAAGGACAGACAGACAAUAAAUUUUUUUUUUUUUUUUAAUUAAAACCUUCAGCAUGUUGCUGUACAAACUGCAUGGGCAUUUUAGCGACAUCUAGUGUUAGUGAAGGAAAAUUGCAGAUGGAGAGCCUCUGGGUUUACUGGGUGUCUGGCUCAUGAUGGCUGUUUUUUGGACAUGUUUUAGAUGGUAAAUUUUAGUAUUGCAUUUGAACACCCUUUUAGGAUGCAUUGAUGUGUGAUUUCAGGUUCAGAAAAAGUUCAUUUGUGUUUACCUGUGUUACUCUUUUGACUGCACAUGGCUGGCCGUGUCAAAACCUAAUAAAUGUUUAGCAUCCUCCUAUCAAGGAUGUUUUUAAAUUCCACAGCCCAGAUUUCAAAAUACUCUUGAAAUGAAAUCAAUAGUCUUGAUUUGAUGCCCUCCCCCUCCCCUUUUGUUUGUUAUGAGCUUGUUUCCUGAAACUUUGGGGAUCCGUACAAAAAUACAGAAUGGAGAAAGAAAGAGAUGCGUGAGAAAAGCGUUUGGCCAGUGCCGGCAUGUUCUGCAUUUUUUAAUCAGACAGGAAAAAGGAAAUGAUGUCACUGGGUCACAAACAGGAUGCAGUGAUUAUAACACAAUGAGAAUGCCUGGCCAUGCGAUUUAGACCCAGAGGCCAGAGAGCAAUGCACACACACAAACACACACACACACACAAACUCACACUUGCAGUUGUGGCAGGAGGGUUUCGAGUAACAGGUUGCAUUGAAAACGUUUUAGCAUAAGACUAAUUGCUGCGAUAACAAGUGUUUAAUGUUCCGGCUGCUGACGGAAAUUCUCUCGGAACCUUUCCGAAAUGUGUUUGUUCUUCCCAAGUGUCCUUUUGACCCAAGCACAGACGCAAAGACAAGGAUGCUUAGAUGACAUGGAUGGACAGGAUGUAUGUGUGGAGUGUGUUUGCGUGGCAUAGAUUUGUUGUCGUUUGUUGAUUAUGUUACUGUCAGGAAUGGAAAGAAACCCGAGCUUGACCUCCCAGACAACCAUUUCUGUUUUAGUACUUAGUUAAACUCAAAAACGCAUCUCCUGCAUGGCCCUCUGGUGCCUUGCAUGGGGUCUCAUAAUGUUGAUUUUGGCCAGGGUGGUGAAUUAUUUGGGAGGAACUGAUGGGAAGGAUGAAUCUCAGAGCUGAACAUCGAAUGCUAGUCCAAAUUGCCUUAUUUUUAUGAUGUAUAUCACCUACUUAAAUUCCCGAUCAAGCCUCACAGAUGACCUUUGCACCCUUUAUGUGAUCUUGUACAGCCUGUUCUGCUCUGGGAGGCAGAUAAAGUCUUUGAUUAUUUCAUUAUUCUUUUAAUAAAAACCUUGCUUUUUCCAAUUCUUUCUGUGUUUGGAGAGCAUAAUGCCACUAAAAACCCAUCUGUGGGCACCAAGGCCAUGUGCGCAGCUCCGGCUGAUUCUUUUGUUGGGGAUCGAGAUGUCUCCUUCAGCCCUGAAGGCGAGGCUGAGGCCCUCGGAGCUGGAACUCGUUUGUGUCUGUAAAUAAGUGUGUGUGUUUUCUUUAUGGGUGCUCUGCUGAGCAGCGCCAUGAUGAACCUGGUGAGAGGGGCGGCAUAUGCCGCUGUUUUUAUGGCAGGGCAAGGUUGCACCCUGGGGCAUCUGUUUCGGUUUUCUGAGGAGGGGCCGCUCCUCUGUCGUUUGCGCUCUUCGCCUGUCUUUGUUUCAGAAUUUCCAGCUCAAGGGGCCUGUAUCCGAGGCAACGGAUUUAAAUUUCAAGCCAAUUUACAACUGGGGAAGAGGAAGGAGGGGGUUGUGAAUUUUUUUUUUCUUUUUUUUUCAGGAUUGAGAAAAAAUACUUCAUGGAGAUGUUAAAAAACGGCACAUUUGUAACCUUUAUAAGAGAAAGUAAACCGUGAACAUUUUCAUUCCCUUUCCACUCACCAUUAUAUGAAACAUGUAAGUGUGAAUAUGUAUAUACAAUAUCUAUGUAUAUGUGGAAAAAAUAGCAAAAAAAAAAAAAAAAAAGCUUGAAGGAAUUAACUUUUUAUUUUUCAGAUGUUUGGUUUCUUAUAAAUAUGCAUUAUAUACAAAAUAAUAGUAUAAAACAUAUAAAGAGCAGUGUGUCAUUAUUAAAUUAACUCUGGAAAUAAUCACUUUUUAAAAAAUUACAUUAUUGGUUCUGUAUUCUCAAAACUAAUUAUAGGCAGUCAGUGGUGAGCAGUUGCUUUGUUUUUUCUGUUUUUGUCCAUUUCUUGUGUUGUACUCAUGGGCCGUGUUGCAUAAAAGAAGUCAAUUGAACUUCUUGGAUCUUGCUGGCACAGUUUCGCUUAUUACGGUUCUGUAGGUUAUUUUUCUUCUUCUUUUUUUCCCGUGUUGAUCAAAAUCUCAAAAACAAUCCAAGAAGACCCUGGGCACAAACA